GUUUGAGAUUAACCUGUUUACAUCUCGAUUAUUUCAAUGGGUACAUGUGAUUUUUCAUUAGUACGCAUAACAAGUAAUGCUGUCACCGAAACUUAGAUAGAUGAAAAAAUCUCCUACUAGUAUUAUUUGUGUCCACUGACUUAAUUGACCACAAAUGUACUUGUGUGACUUAUUGGAAGCUAUCUCUAAAUUGUGCUACUCCACCAAAGUAGGGAAGGACCGUAAUUAGUACAAUCCUGCACAUAAAAUCCUAGCUAUGCUCUAAUAGUGGAAGAAUGGCUAUCCCUAAAUUGUACUACUCUUCAAGUAGGGAAGGACCACGGUCGGUACAAAUCCUGCACCCUAAAAACCUCACAAUGCCGUCAGACCAUUACCUCUUCUGUUCAUAAUAUUUUACUACAUACUAUAUAUUAAAUCUCUUUGACUUCUUCGUAUGCUAUUUCUUAUUAUGUUUAGUGAAAAAUAUGACUCAACCACCCAGUCAAUGACCAAACCACCCAGUCAAUGACCAUACUUCAAGUUGAAAAUGAAGUAAUUUUCUGAGUACUCAGCUUGCUUGCAUCUCGAUUAUUUAAAUCGGUAUCUAUUAGCUUCAACUAGGACCCCAUCUUUCCAUCAAUGGAUCCCCACAUUUGAGAUUAGCAAUUAGCAUCAGGUACUUUGGGAAUGAUUUACCAUAUUAAAAUGAUUCCAAGCAUUUCCAACUCACAGCUGAUCAUGUGUGUUUGAUU